rnacentral:miRNA from 1 species
GUAGAAUGGGUGAUGGGAGAAGGC